CGUAAACGCAACACUCGUGUGUUGAACACCUUGAGUUCGGAGUUACGUUGAAUUGUUGGAAGAUAUCGUCAUAUUCAUAAUCGUAGUUUUGAUUACUAAGUGCAGGCAGUAUAUUUACUAAUACGUGAUUUAUUUUCUGAGCGGCAUGUUGGUACCGUUGGCCAGAAUGUUAAGAAGCAGUGGUGUUCAGCUUUUGGAUGAGUAGUAAAAUUGAGAGUGUGGAAAGCAACAGCAAGAAUACAAUGUGCUGACUCUUUGCUAGUUGACUUAUUUGCAUAAUUCACUAGACCGUGGCCUCAUCACAAUGAUGUAAUGAUAAUGAAUAUUCAUUGUCAGACACUUAAAACUACAGAAGUCAGGAAACUGCUGAAAUGACACCACAGCAAAAGCAACUUCUUGAUAGCAUAUAUCUUUCACCGCAGCAAGUCUCGCAUGUGUAAUGUCCUACUACCUCUUGGAAAGGCUGACUGUUCAGAUUUGGACCAACAUUUUAAAUAGAAAUUCUGAAGAAACAUGGACAUCAAUAGUUCCUCCUUUUGCAACGAGUCAACCUGCCCUGCUAGCCAGUAUUACUGUGUUGCUUCCUCUACUGAAUGGUGAGUGUGAUGGCAAAAGUUUAUGAAUGUUUAAAUAUUAUAAAUUUCAUGUCCAUUGCAAAUUGUGUCCAUUGCAAAUUGCUUUGUGGGAUAAAUACGUACCUAAAAAAGUUUGUUUUACAUAUGAGGUGAAUUGUCUAUAAUACUGUAGUAAUAAUAGUAAUUUUUCCCCCCUGUAAGCAUAAUAAUCAUUUUGGUUGUCAGUAUUACAGUGCAACAUAUAUUUCCCUAUUUCAUAAUGAAAUUUUAAUAAAUAACUUUAAAAUAAUGUUUGUUUAUGAAAUACAAUUUAACUAUAAUAGCAAUAUAGCAAUGCUUUUAAUAUCUUCAUAUGAAAAUUAAAUAAAAUGCAAUAACUAAUGCAACCUACAAUUUACAACAAUAAUUUUCUCGUAAUUCAUAGACAAACUUAAAAAUAAAUAAUUUUGAAAUAUUAAAUAUUUAAAAUUGCAUUUAUUUGAAUUAUUAAAAAUAUAUUUAGGCUAUUUGGUCAUAAAUUAACUGUUAAUGAAUAUAUUUUGAAUUUAUUUAGGCAAUCAAAUUUAGGCUUUAAAUUUUUCGGUUAGGGUUUGGAUACCAUUUAUAUUAUUAUUAGCAGUAAUUGAUGUCACUUUUGAUGAAUAAAACGUGUGUAUACUUUAUUGGUUGCAUUAAUAUCAAAGGUCCUCAGUAUAAAAUACCCAAGGCACCUAAAUAAUAUAUGUUAAACCUGUAGGCAAAACAUUAAUGUACGUCUGCACGUAAUCAAUGCUAUUUAAGGCCCAAAAUCAAAAUAUUUUUAGUACAGAGAAGCUGUAAUACUUUAAAUUGUAUCAGUUACUGAUCUGUUUUUAUCAUAAAAAAUAACAACAAUAAUAAUGAUAUUAAUUACAAAUUUCUAUAUAGUGCCAAUUCCAAAUUGAAUUUACCAAAGACACUGAGCCAUUGGGCUUAGUUACUGAAUAACACAUAAUGUUAAUAGUUUUUGACAUGGCCUCAUUUGUUUAACAUGCCAUAGCCAAUUUUGGUGCAACCCUUUCUGUAAAAAUUUGAUGAAAAGGUAAUGUAAAUUAUUGUAUGCUUUUAAUUGCAAAAUUCUUUGUGGCUUAUUUUGCAAUGGACAUUUCAAUUGUUGAUAACGUUCCCAUUACUUCACUUUGUUACUUAUGUUUUAAUAAUUGUUUGUCAAUCGAGCUUUCUAUUAAAUUUAUUGUAUUGAAUGUUAAUAGUAAAUUGUAAAAAAGAAUUGUUGAUAACUUUAAAUAUGUUCCCUCUACUCUGGACUUUAAAUAUUUUAAUUACAAAUAUAUUCCCUUUCACUGGAUAUAUAAAUUGUUUAAGUUACCGGUACUUUGCAUACUGUUUUAAUUGUUUGUUAAUCAAUCUUUUGAUUUGAAUUUUAGUAAAUUGUAAAAAAGAAUUGUUUAAAUUUAAAUAUUUUCCCUCU